rnacentral:tRNA from 1 species
GGGAAUGUGGCUCAAUUGGUAGAGUGCUCUCAUAGUAUUCAUGGAGGCCUGGGUUCGAUCCCCAGUACUGCUU